rnacentral:rRNA from 1 species
CGAAGGUGGCAAGCGUUGUUCGGAUUUACUGGGCGUACAGGGAGCGUAGGCGGUUGGAUAAGUCCUCCGUGAAAUCUCCAGGCUUAACCUGGAAAGUGCAGAGGGGACUGUUCAGCUAGAGGAUGGGAGAGGAGCGCGGAAUUCCCGGUGUAGCGGUGAAAUGCGUAGAGAUCGGGAGGAAGGCCGGUGGCGAAGGCGGCGCUCUGGAACAUUUCUGACGCUGAGGCUCGAAGGCGUGGGGAGCAAACAGGAUCAGAUACCCUGGUAGUCCACGCCUUAAACGAUGGAUGCUAAGUGUCGGCGGGUUACCGCCGGUGCCGCAGUUAACGCAGUAAGUAUCCCGCCUGGGAAGUACGGCCGCAAGGUUG